rnacentral:lncRNA from 1 species
GAGGGUCUCUGCUGCUCUCCCCUGGGAAAUCCCCUCAUCCUGCCCUCUGGCUGCCUCCCAGCUGGGCUUGUUCUCUGAGGGAGGUUCCGGAGACUCAUGGACUUGGGGCUCUGCCUGUAGGAAGGAGGCUGGGCCGGAGGGACCAGCCACCAUUGUCUCUGUUCAGCCAAGUGUGCAAGUAGGCUGCCCGCCAAGAGGGGGCCUCUGCUACCCGCUGCUGCCUGCCGGCUGACACACUGCCUCCCCAGCCUUCCUGCUAGGCCACCCUCCUCCCUUCCCAUGCUUGUAACCAGCUCUGGGGCUUGCACCUCCACAAAGUAAGGUUGGCCCUUGGAGGCCAUGUUUGGGUCUCCGGCCAGGGCCUAGGGCUAGGCCAUGCACCCAAUGGGUGCACAAUAAAUAACAGGUCAACAAAGA